rnacentral:lncRNA from 1 species
GGGUGCUCAGGGAAUAUUUACGAUUUGUUAUUUUCCUGACAUCGCUCGGCUAAUACGCGGCAGAAACUAAAUUUGAACCCAAAUCCUUUAACUUCAAUCCAUCAACUCUUGCUCCCCCGACACCACAGAAGGGCGGGGCAUCUGUCGCCAGUAGGGGUGAGAUUUAGCGGCAGGACAACCUUUCCAGGCGUCCCCACAUCGAUCAGGGGGCAGUAUCACUCAGUCUGGAUGAAGCGAUGUCACGAGCAUCCCUAUAGAGAGGCCCACAUGCCAAGGAGCAGAAGCUUCCUGUCACAUGGUGAGUGAGCUUGGAAAUGGAACCUCCAGCCCCGGUCGAGCCUUCGGAGAUGGCCGUCCCCACCAACAGCUCAAGAACCACGUCAGGAGAGAGCCCCAGCCGAGCCACCCAGCUCAGCCUCUCCCGGAUUCCUGACUGUCAGUAAUUGUGUGAGAUAAUAAAUAUUUACUGUUUUAAGCUGCUA